AGCAACAGACUGCUAUGUCACCAGAGCGAAGGAAGAGAAGGCCAGACAGCCCAGGGAGAUGUGAGCAGCCUUCACAGCAGAAAGACGGCUGAAGUCCACAGUACUCCAGAGUAGACUAGGAGAGAGGUUCAGAGGCACUUUUGAUCCCAGAUGUGGAGGAGGUGAUAUUUUUUGUGGGUCCCUUAAUCACAUGGAUGUGGCAGCACCUUUCCCAACCCUCUUUCUCCCUCCCCUUUUUCUAUACUUUAGAGACUAGGCUAUAGGCAUUAUACAUGCAUCUGGAGGUGACUGUGUGUUGCCGUGUUGGCCAUGGGAGAAGGGUGGGCAUCUGGGACAGUCUAUCCUGAUAAGGGAGAAUAUAACUGAUGGAAACACAGCUUCCUCCUCCUUCCUGCCUUGAAGAAAAACAAGAUGUCUGGUGCUGCAGCAGCCAUACUGCAACCAUGAAGUAGUGAGUAUCAGAAGAGAAGCCAGCAUGCAGGAAAGACCAGGGUUUCCUGGCGGAUGCGGCCCUGAGAGUGACACGUACAGGCUGAACCAAAGCCAGCCACUGUCCAUCUCUGGACUUCCUUGUUGUAUGAGAAAAAUAAUACCCCCCCCUUUUUUUAGGCCAUUAUUUAUGGGGACUUCUUGCUGAUGAAUACAUUGCUGACUGAUAACUUUUAUUAUUUUUUAACUCAUUUUAUUUUGUUCUUAUAUAUAGGAUCUUCAAAGGAAUUUCUGAAAGUGGGUUUCUUUGAUUUUUUCUGGAAGAAAAUGGAAUGUUUAAAAAUGAUCACCCAUUUAUUCUUGCCUGGUACUGAGAAGAAUAUCCUGAAAAGCUACUAUCAGGAAGUUUACUCCCAGCCCUAUGAGGCAGACCUGCUAAAGCAGGAGUUCUUGCCUUAACUUUUAAGAGCCCUGAUGCCCGGGUCACACCCCAGGCCAAUUCCAUCAAAACUGCUGAGAACAGAACUGAGGCAUCCAUACUUUGAAAAGCUCUUGGGAUGAUCGCAAGGGGGGCCAAGGUUGAGAACCACUGGUCUGGGGAAAUGGUCUUUGCGCAAGCAAUUCCCCCACCAGACUGUUCUCUGCAUCAUCCUCUCCCCCUGCCCUGGUGCCUCCUGGCUCACUCCUGACCUGGGUUCAAACAUCACUUCUUCAGGGAUGAACCUCACACUCGAUUAUGCUCACCUUAGAUACACUCUCCUAGCUGCCUAUGCCUUUUCUUCACAGCACUUAUCUCUGUGAUUCUAUACAUUGUGAGAGUACCUGAUCAAGCUUGAUCUCCCCCAGUAGAAUGUAAGCUCCACAGGGCAGGGUUAGAGCCUGUUUUUAUUCACCAGGGCUUGACACACAGUACAGGCAGAGGACGUUUGCUGAAUGAAUGAGUGAAUGCAUGCAGACUCACUGGAAAGAAAAGGUCUUCAGAAAAAGCUAGAAGCCACACUCCAGUUGACAGAAAAGUGGACAGAGCAAGAGCUAUCCAACAGGAAGAGGAGAGUUAAAGAUGGGGAUUGAGAAAGGAAAUAAGUGCCCUUUGUUCUGGGAAAAUAAGGGACAGUUUGGAGACCAGCAGGUUAUUGGUUUCAGGUUGUGUAACAGCCAGGGCAGCCAGCAACUGGGGACACAGUUUGCAGAUCCCAGAGGGCAGGAAAUAAAGUGAAGGAAGAGGUCUGGUCAGGCCCCCGAGGAAGCUGCUGCAGGAGGGGACCCCCAAGGGAGGAUGCCCACACCCUGAGCCUUCCUGCACUGGUGGGCAGAUAUGCCCCAAACCAGAACGCUGCUGUCAGGAGGGGAAGGGAGGCUUGCCAACACCUUAUACCAAAUUACGGUUGUCCAUUCUAACAAGAAAUAUGAGCACGAUCCUGUGGGAAGAGUUCCAGUCUUGUGUCCUGAUAUUUUCGACAGAGCCCAGGAAGAUGGACUCCACCAGCACAGGAAUAUAAGCACCUGGGAAACUGAGGUGGGAAUGCUCUGAAACCAAGCACAUGAGAGCAGUAUUGGGGCAGCCUGCCGGCAGGCUCUGCAACCCCCACAAUUCCUCUAGAACCAUGACCUCUGAGAGAUUCAGGAGUUUGCUCCAUUAUCCAGCUAAUGAGUGGUGAGGCUGAGAUGUGGAUUCAUGACUGACUUAGCACUAUGCCAUUCAAAAGGCAAACGUCCAAGAAUUUUGAUGGUCCCAGGAAGCUGGCAAUUCCCAGGUACCACACCUUGUCACUUACUCCCUGCCUGAGCAUAGGAAAGACUAAGCUAGAUUUGUAAUUGGGUUAUUGCAAAUUACAUCCUACAGGCAUUUUUGCUUUGAUUCACUCUCUGACCCACCCCUCUUCUGUAACCUGGGCGUUGAAAGGCUCACGCGGGCUCCGCCUCCUCCAGCACCGUCCAGCCCCCAGCACUGCACUCCAGCACCAGGGCAGCCUCCCGGGAGGACGGAUGUGGCCAGGAGCCUGCUUCCUGCCAUACCUGCAGUUUCCCUGUUGCCUCCUCCCAGCUGCCGGGACACUCGUUGCCCUGCCGGCUUCCUGCCAGGCCGUGUGAAAGACACAGCAGCCCAGGCUCCCCCACAUCAGCCUCCUGGGUGCGUCCCCUGGGCCGGCCUCUCUGCCAGCCUGCACAGCCGGGGAGCGGGCUCUCCACCUCUGCCCAGGGCGCCUUGCAUCACCGCAGGCCGCAGUGGGAGCAGGGCUGAGAGGGAAACAGAGGAGGCAGAGAAAGGCAGAGCAGUCUCCGCGUCACUCUGGGUCCCACUCUGCCCUGCGAAGGCUGCUUGGCUAAGCGGGAAGGUCUCGGGACCAGGAGUCACAGACUGAUUCUGGACCAGGGUGGCCACCAGUCAGCGCUGCCACCUUGGGGAAGUCACCAGCUCUGAGGCUCGAAGUUCUUAUCUAUACAGGGAGGGUUGGACUAGACGGGGGGAGUUUAACCUGUGGCCCAGAGAGCCCAAGGACAUCCCAAGACGCAUUUGGGGCAGGGGUCCUGGAGCUCUGGCAAGUACUGUACAGAAUCUUGGGUGUAGUAGACAUGUUUUUUUUCUAAGUGAGUUUGGGCUUGCCAGACUCCAAAGGUAGUCUCAGGAAUCACUUUGGGGGCCUGUUCUGAAUCUUGAUGGAUAUCCAGCUGGUCCCACACACAAGAGAGGUCUCUUCUUUUCCUUCUCUCCCUAUCCCCCCUCAAAGUUUCCUAAGAGCAGGAAUAUUGCCCCAUUUUCUUCAGGCCCCUCACUCUGGAAGCUCCCCAGAUAGGAAAUGACUCAAAGGAAAGCACAGGAGGGGACAUCAGGCAAAGAGCUGGCCUUCAUCCUGCCCGGCUGCUCUGCAGUAACCAGAUAGGAAAGAUCUAGGAACACUUACGGGGACUUGCCCCGUGAAUGCAGAGCCAACUGGGCCACAGACAUUGGCUCAAGGACUUGCCAUCUAGAAGGAAACAGAACACAUCUGCAGAGAAAAGUUACCAGCGGAGGUGGAUGGCAGAGAGAUUGUCAGAAAGAGUGUGGCCCUUCUCUUCAUCAACUGGAAGCAGCCAGUUAAAAACGAUUCCCCAUGUCAGUGCCUGUGAGCAGGAGGAGCCGCCACUAGGAUGGCAAGUCAGGAGGCACUCUCCCCCCGCGGCCGUGUGCGUGCGCCCUCUCUUCAGCCUCUGACGUGCGUGCGCCCUCUCUUCAGCCUCCGACGUGCGUGCGCCCUCUCUUCAGCCUCCGACGUGCGUGAGCCCUCUCUUCAUCCUCCGACGGGGACACGUGCCUCCUCGAAGACGUGCUAAGCCGAGUGCAGUCGACGGCGGCCUUCGGAUGCCCGUGCCUCCCAGUGGGCCCUCGGACGCGGCUGCCCAAAUCUGGGCCCCGACGCAGGGCCCUCUGCUUUGGAACAUCGUUCCUGCCCGCUGAGGGGCAGCAAACUCCAAAAAGGCCUCUGUCCGCCCAGGAAAUCCCGGGACACCCUGUGAAGAGAGCAAUGCAGACAGCGACGCCUGAGAGGAGGCUCGGACGGGCUGUGGGGCACGCCUGGGUCUCAUUGGCCAGCCAGGAGGCCCGCGGAGCGAUCACCCCUUUCGCCUCUGGACCCCUAGGAGGAAGCCAAGGAGAGCGUCAGUGGGUCAAUACCCUGCAGGGGAAUUUGGAGUGUUUCAGAGUGAAAGCUCCCUGGCCGACACUUCACUUCACAGGCGAAGGAGUAGGCCAGAGAUUAGGCAGCUGCCCGGGGAAGGAGCACUUUGUGAUCUUCCUUCUGCCUAGAUCCCAAGGACCUCUUGCAUUAAUAAAGGACAACGGAGAGAAAAUUUUGGGUCCCAGAUCGUCUGUCAUCCUUUGGGAAAUUUGUUCCCAAGCUCUGGCUGGUUGUUUUGUUUUUGACAGAUGAGGCUGUGUGUUGGAAGCUUGGCCUAAAGACACACCUCAGCCAUCUUCCUCCAGCACCCCUGCAAGCUGUGGCCACUGUCCCCUCACAGCCUUCGGCUGCUCAUCUGCCCUGUGUGAGGGCACCGGGAGCUCGUCCCCGCCCUGCCCGCCCUGCCUCAGGAGGCCCCUUGCUUCUCUCCCAGCCCACUGACAAAGGACAAGGGGACAUCGAGGAAUGGUCCCUGCAGUCGCUGACCAGAGACCAGGGCCUGUCCUCUGCUCAUCACUGGCCCCACUGCUCGUAUCCCAGACCAGGCUCCUGGAAGCUAUC